CAAACAAAUAAUUAAAUUUUUGCGUAACAUUGAUUACUGUCUUUGAAAUUGCACCAGAACGUUGUAAAAAGAUUCGAUGAGCCAUCGCUGACUCUUAUGAGAAAGUUUUACUUAGCACAUAAAAUGGAAAAAAAAAAAUUCUACGAAAAAGUCUGUGAAACUUCGAACAGAGCGAAAUUCAAAUCUGGGAGAAACGAAGAUCGAUAAUUAGCAUCAGAAUUCAAUAACUUGUCCCAAUUUUUUUAACCGAUUAAGCAACAUAUCGCCACGUUUUAUCGUAUUUUGAUAAACCAAUCCUCGAUCGCAGCUAGCAUCAGGCGGUUGUCCUCUGUCACAACCGGAUGCGCUAACGUAACGCCGAAUUCGAUAGCCAUACGAUUUAAACUGAGCGUACGAUAUGCCUGUAAAAGUUGCGAAUAUGCCUUUAUGCGCAUCUCUCGAACGUAAUACUGAUAGUGUGGACGAAGAAUAGGAUCAAAUUUCAUUUCCAUUUCUAUCCAUGCGAGAUGUUGAAAGAAAUCAGCAUAAUGACAAUCAUAGAGACUAUUUAAAUAAUCCAUGUAAGCUGAACAUUCGAUCAUUAAAGAUUGCUGUAGGAUACCAUUAUUAUUGAAUCGUUUAUCAAGGUCUGAUCUUGAUAAAGAGAUCAUACCGGCUAAGACAGUGUACUGUACGAUAUCUUUGAACGGUAAUAAUUCGUAUGAUUCGAAGGUAGGAAUGCAAUCUAAUAAAAGGGAAACGGCACGAGUGAAAUUUCUUACGGCCAAACAAUAGAGCGCUUCGUAUGCCUUCAAUUUAUUUCGACAACACCAAUUGCUACCCAUAUUGCAGGAUACUAAAAAGAAAUCAUCGAAUAUUAAGUUCGUUUGUUCUUACAUUUUUUAAUUAAAAGAAAAGAAAAAAAAUGAAUAAAUGAACAGAAUCGUUAACGUUGACAGUGUUAUAAUGAAUGAAAGAUUGGGAAACUCGAAUUUUAUUAUUUUUAUGACGCGCAUGAACGCUCUAUUCGAAAAUAUCAAGAUGUUAAUUACGCCAUAUUUAAGUGAAAUACAAAGCGCGGGAUCGUAGCUAACCUUAGAUUUACUUUCUAAUAACGAGCAUUUGAGUGAUAUUAUGGCUUCUGAUAACAAAACAUUUACGAAUUUACCAUGGGUUGAAAAAUAUCGACCUAAAAAGUUGGAAGAACUCAUCUCUCAUGAAGAAAUAUUAAAAACAAUUAAUAAAUUCAUUGAUGAGAAUCAACUUCCUCAUCUUCUACUUUAUGGACCACCAGGCACAGGAAAAACCAGUACUAUAUUAGCUUGUGCAAGGAAACUUUACAAACCUGCGCAGUUUAAUUCUAUGGUAUUAGAAAUGAAUGCAUCUGAUGAUAGAGGAAUAGGUAUAGUCAGAGGACAAAUAUUAAAUUUUGCGAGUACAGGUACUAUGUACAGAUCUGGAUUUAAAUUGAUUAUUCUCGAUGAAGCAGACGCCAUGACAAAUGAUGCUCAAAAUGCUCUUAGGAGAAUUAUUGAGAAGUAUACAGAGAAUGUACGCUUUUGCAUUAUAUGUAAUUAUCUUGGUAAAAUUAUACCGGCUCUUCAGUCAAGAUGUACUAAAUUUAGAUUUGGUCCUUUGCAAUCGGAACAAAUUUUACCAAGACUAAAUGAUGUUAUAGAGCAGGAAAAUUUAAAAGUAACAGAUGAUGGGAAACAAGCAUUAAUGACAUUGUGCGGUGGAGAUAUGAGGAAAGUACUAAAUAUACUUCAGAGUACUUGGUUAGCUUUUGGAUCAGUUACAGAGGAAACAGUAUAUUCUUGCGUUGGACACCCUUUACCAGUUGAUAUAAAAAAUAUUGCAAACUGGUUGUUAAAUGAAUCUUACGAAUUAUCCUAUUGUAGUAUCCUUUUGAUUUUACUCAACAAUUUUUAUUAUUAUUUUGUCAAUUUUUAAUAGUUUUCUUAAUGGAUGAUAAGAAAUACAAGAUCUAAAAAUUAAGAAAGGACUCGCAUUGCAAGACAUACUGACUGAAUUGCAUCAAUUUGUACAUAAAAUUGAAUUCCCAGAUCACAUACUCAUAGAUUUAGUGAUAAAAAUGGCUGAAAUCGAAAAGAGGGUAGCAGUCGGAUGUAGCGAGGCAGUACAAUUAAAUGCUCUCGUGGCGGCUUUUCACAAAGCACGAGAGAUAGAUUUUUGAAAAAUAUUUACCGUCAGUAACCAACAAUGUGUCAGGUCGCCUCUAUUUAUACAAUACGAUAAUAUCUUAUAAUCUUUAAUUACAUUCUGUCGUGAAUCUUAUCUACGAGAUGGAUCUCCCCGAAUUGGAUGUCAAAAUCUACAACGUAAAAUCGGUAGAGUCAUCGUGUCAUUCUUUCCAUAAAUUUCCCUUAGCUUGUAAAUUCAUCUGUGCCUAUCGCUUCUCGUAUACCGGUAAUCGCACGAAAAGUGUAGACCUCAUUCUCCGGAUGAUAGUUCUUUUCAACAGUAAGUUUGUUGUGUAUGUAAAACAAUAUAUGUACAUAUAAACCGUAUAUAAACUGUCUUGAGAAUACUUUACCGUCUUGACAAGUAUUGUCCGAUCUGCACGCGAUUUGCUGAUCGUUAUUUGAAGAUAAUUGUUUAUUAAAAAAAAUCAUGUUGAACACGAACUAUCUCGUAACUGAAAAAACUUGUCAUUGACGAGAAAGAAAGUCGAGAAUUUAUCGUGUAGCUCUUGCGUAAACUCUUUGCAAACUAUGAAAAAAAACGUCGAUCCCUUUGAAAAUUGUAUUUUAAUUUACUUCGGCAUACAUAUUUAUAUAUCUGUCGAGCGAUCGAUGGAACUAACGCUCCAGUUCUUAAUGUCAAAAACAAAAGUCGACGUUAUCGUAAUGUUAUACACGGUAACGUGGUAUUCAUCGUAUUCAUAAAUUCGAGAAAUAUGGCUCUCUGUCUCUCUCUGUAUCUCUCUAUCUCCUGUCUCUAUGUUUCUCUCUCUCUCUCUUUCUCUCUCUCUCUCUUUCAGAUAGCGUUGCGAAACCAUCAAAACUAGGUAGUAUCACUGUAAACCUAUAUGCGAAGUCGGCAAGUGGAAUGACCUAGCGUUGGUCCGACGAGCCAUUAAUUUCUACACUCUUCCUCUCCCGUCUCUUCCUGCCGCUCUUUCCCCCCACCACUUUCAUCACGCGAUGCAAUACUCCCCGCAAACUCAGCGUACUACCAUGAUAUCUCUCGAGUAGUACCGCCAAAUUUUUAAUGAAAGUGCUCCGACAUAAGUUUAUCGCUAAUUUUCGCCCAUUUCAUUAUGGACGUGCGUUAUGCAAAGCGGUGGACGUAAUCGUACGUGCUUUUGCACGUUGCUGUAUCGUGAAAGAGGGUUGGAGGAAUGGGAUUCAAAAAUUCAAAAAAAAAAAAAAAGAAGAAAAAGGAAGGUUAAAGCAAAUUUGACUCAUAUAUAAAAACUAACGAGUUAAAAUACUAUGAACGAAUUGAAAAUAGAAAACAAACUUUUUGUAAAUUGUACAUUGUUACCAGUGAAUAUUCAUGUAUACAUUGUUAUAUAUUUGUUCUUCAUCGUUCAUUAUCGAAAGAGAGGGGGCAGAGAGAGAGAGAGAGAGAGAGAGAGAUAGAUAGAUAGGGGGAAGAGAGAGAGAGAGAGAGAGAGAGCGUAAUACAUUUCUUACGAGUCGAUUUACAAAAAUUAAAAGUAAAUAAAAGUAAAAAAAAAAAAGAAAAAAAACAAAUAAAAAUAUACAAUUCCGACUGACAGCGUAUAAAUAAAAUUCAUCCAUGAAUCCACGUUUCGUAUUUUACAAUUUUUUCUUGAUCGAACGUCAGUUUUGCCCAGGCAGCGUUGGAAAUAGAUUGUUUCUUUUUUUUUUCUUUUUUAAUUUUUUUCGUUACUUUUAUUGAUUUUUUUCUUUUUAAAUCAACAUCACGUAUUCGUCGAAAUCGGUAAUUAAAUAACACUCAGGAACGAUACCAAAUCAAACUUUCGAGUUAAUAAGAAGUUCUCGAAGGUGGUAGGUAGUACGUCGACGGCGGCGUCGGUGCCGACGUCGAUUCUGCCAGCUAUUUCAGCUUGAAAACUUCACGUAGACGUGCCCGCGUUAACUUUCCGCUUCGAAAUAACUAAUUCAAUUAGUAUAUCAGUGCCGAUGUAAGGGUUAACUACAUCCACGCGUUCGCGAAGUGUACGUAAUCCUCGUUCUGUGACUUAACUUUGACAUAGCUAAUCCCUCUUAAACUUUGCUUCUCUGACCUGGACACGUUCAGUUUCUUAUUCUCCGUGGAUCUGUAAGAAAGAAAGAAAGAGAGAGAGAGAGAGAGAGAGAGAGAGAGAGAGAGAGAGAGAGAGAGAGAGAAAGAGAGAAACACUUUUGCAACGGUGGAAGUCUGACAACGACUUUUGCACCUCUUCGACAUUGCGGGUGUAAAGUGCGUUAAGCUUGCCUUUUCGACAACGUAGAGUGACUUUCUUAUUAAUAGGAGAGGUCGAGAGAGAAUGGGAGAGAGAGAGAGAGAGAGAGAGAGAGAGAGAGAGAGGAAAAAAUAGAAAAGGAAAAAGUUUAACUAGAAGUUCGAUAGGUGGUUCGGACGAACGUCCGCGAAAACACUUUAACGUGUUACGUGUAUUAACUCAUGAUGGCUACGUGGUUUCGUAUUAAAGUUUUCUUUUCAUUGACAGAAAGGAAUGGAUAAGAAUCGUAUUUAAAAAUGAUUACAAUAUUUAUUCCAAUCGAUA